rnacentral:lncRNA from 1 species
AAUGCUCCUCCUGCUCGGCCUCGAGAGCGGUGAUUAACAUUGUCAUUUCAAUUGGUGUGAAUGAGACGAUUAUACUGUUUUAAUUUUAAUUAUGUAAAAUUCUAAAAAGCAGGAGGAGUAACGAUAAGGCUGCUUCAAUUUCUACUAAUAACGGCGUCUUCACAACUCAUUGAAUCGGAACUGACUAAACUAAUGUUGUCUUUUUAGUUCCAUCUGCCACACGCUCCAAACCCCCACCUGGAGAUACCGCUGAUCUACAGGCAUCACUAGUUGAUGCUGUUCCAGCUUCACCAGGUGUGAAGAGGAAGAGACCUGUGCCCCUCCCUCCACAGCUGGCCUUCCUGGUGACAGAGACAGAGGGUCUCACAAAGGUAGAGGAGCCCCACUCAACUUCAAGUAUGUUUAUUUUUUUUAGGGCUGAUGAACAACCUGAUAUCUCUGUAAUGUACAGCUGACUGUUCUUUCCAUGUUGUCAUCAGUUCCCAUAGCUCCUGUUCCCAUGCCUGUCCCUGACCACGACAUGAGCAAGUGGAUCUGCUCACAACAUCAAAAGCUGUGGAUGAGGACGGCACUUCAACAACUUGGGUUGUGGCCUGGGUCCCGACCAGUGCAUAACCCUGGGAACGCAAUUUCUCUUUGGCGUCUUCCUCCUCAACCGGAGCUACUGGACAUAGUGGCUGAGCUCCCAUCUCCCAACUUUUUUUCAGCUCCAUCCAUUUUUCAUUUGGAAGCCAGAGAGCCACAUCAUGGUCAGGUUGAGGAACAAUUACAUCCUGCCGUGCCUCCAUAGCUGUCCUCGUCCUCAGGUGGUCUCUGCAGGCGUGGGAAGACCUUGAGUGAUCGUCAGCGUCCGUGGCCAGUAUUUUAUCUUUUCCUCGCGACUCUGCUGCAAGGCCUGUCGCAGGAACUGGUUCGCUGACAACCCUCGAUGGGUGGAGAAGCUGCCCGUGCGCUUUACUAACCUUUUGCCUGCAUUCCUGACUUACAAGA